rnacentral:rRNA from 1 species
UACAUAGGGUGCAAGCGUUAAUCGGAAUUACUGGGCGUAAAGCGCGCGUAGGCGGCUGUCUAAGUCGGGUGUGAAAGCCCCGGGCUCAACCUGGGAACUGCAUUCGAUACUGGACGGCUAGAGUAUGAGAGAGGGAGGUAGAAUUCCACGUGUAGCGGUGAAAUGCGUAGAUAUGUGGAGGAAUACCGGUGGCGAAGGCGGCCUCCUGGUUCAAUACUGACGCUGAGGUGCGAAAGCGUGGGGAGCAAACAGG